ACCUCUGCAAUGCGGGAAACCGUGACAGGAGGAUUCCGAGUGCUCAUGCAUGCAUGGGCUGUUCUUUGGUCUAAGUAACCAGAGGAGUAAGGGCUGGGCAAGACCGGUGCCAGCCGCCGCGGUAAUACCGGCAGCUCAAGUGGUAGCCGCGAUUAUUGGGCCUAAAACGUUCGUAGCCGGAUAAGUAAGUCUUUGGUUAAAUCCUGCGACUUAACCGUGGGAAAUCUAGAGAUACUGCUUGUCUUGAGACCGGGAGAGGUUGGAGGUACUCCCAGGGUAGGGGUGAAAUCCUGUAAUCCUGGGGGGACCACCUGUGGCGAAGGCGUCCAACUGGAACGGGUCUGACGGUGAGGGACGAAACCUAGGGGAGCGAGCCGGAUUAGAUACCCGGGUAGUCCUAGGCGUAAAUGAUGCGAGUUAAGUGUGGGGGCAUCCACGAGAUGGCCCUGUGCUGUAGGGUAGCCGUUAAACUCGCUGCCUGGGGAGUACGGUCGCAAGGCUGAAACUUAA
rnacentral:rRNA from 1 species